rnacentral:rRNA from 1 species
UACGUAGGGCGCGAGCGUUGUCCGGAUUUAUUGGGCGUAAAGAGCUCGUAGGCGGCUUGUCGCGUCGUUCGUGAAAACCCACAGCUCAACUGUGGGCUUGCGGUCGAUACGGGCAGGCUGGAGUUCGGUAGGGGAGACUGGAAUUCCUGGUGUAGCGGUGAAAUGCGCAGAUAUCAGGAGGAACACCGGUGGCGAAGGCGGCAUCCUGGACCAACACUGACACUGAGGAGCGAAAGCCAGGGGAGCAAACGGG